AUUGAACGCUGGCGGCAGGCCUAACACAUGCAAGUCGAACGCGUGGCGGACGGGUGAGUAAUGUCUGGGAACCUGCCCGAUUGUGGGGGAUAACUACUGGAAACGGUAGCUAAUACCGCAUACCAUCGGAUGUGCCCAGAUGGGAUUAGCUAGUAGGUGGGGUAACGGCUCACCUAGGCGACGAUCCCUAGCUGGUCUGAGAGGAUGACGAGCCACACGGGAACGGAGACACGGUCCAGACGCCUACGGGAGGCAGCAGUGGGGAAUAGUGCACAAGGGGCGCAAGCCUGAUGCAGCCAUGCCGAGUGUAUGAAGAAGGCCUUGGGGUUGGAAAGUACUUUCAGCGAGGAGGCGUUACUCGCAGAAGAAGCACCGGCUAACUACGUGCCAGCAGCCGCGGUAAUAC
rnacentral:rRNA from 1 species